rnacentral:lncRNA from 1 species
GUUCACUUCCGGUGUUAGCGUGUGGUGGAGCCACUUAGCGUCGCCCAUGGACGGCCAUUCAUUUUUCACGAUAUUAACAAGCUCACGACUCGUUUUUUUUGAAAGGUAAAGUAAAAUUUUAUGCUUUCUGUUUUACUUACUCCUGUUCUUCAUAAUACUGUCCGGAACUAAGCAGAAUGCUAACUUCCGCGUACUGAGAAAAAGGUCUAUUUAUAUAGUUCCUACUGCUUUAUGAAAGUCUACUUAUAAGUACAUAAAAUCUGUAUAAACAAGAUUUAAUGACAACCUCACCAUCACCAAGAUGAAUUUUACUGACGUACUGGUUGCUAUAAACUCAGUUUUCACUUUGAUGCCUGUUCAGAAAAAAAAUUAAACUAAUGUCAAUACCACUGGAUGAUUUGGAUGAUGAGCUGUUGUCAAUUUUCAUUUUGCAGUUUGGAACUGAGAGAUUGCUGCUUAUUUUUUUGCCUCUUCACCUGUUACCUCAAACACCCGAGGACGAGACAUCUUCAGAAGUUGGUGCAUCAGAUGCAGCUAACCGCUUGAUGAAAUUCAUACAGGUACGUUCUUAGAAAUGUAAAAUAUAUCACUCUACCUGUGAGUUUCAAAGGUCAGCUCAAUUUUUGACUGAGCUAGUGGCUUAAUGUGAUUUAGAUUUAGUUGUUUGUUUGUUUUUUUCCCACCAGAUGAGCAUAGUGUUUCAGCAUUUUAUUUUCUUUAAAAUUGUGGCACUCCAAGACCAAAAUCAACUGGAUAUAGGGUCCGUUAUUAACUGUUAAACUGUAAUAGGAGUUGGUUGUGUACUGGAUUACAUUGUAUUGAAAGGUGUUCCUAAUAUUUUGCCCCCCCCCCCCCCCCCCCAUGUUUUUUUAAAAAGUGGUCAAAAUAUAAGGAACACGAUUUAGUAUAGAGCACUCCAGUACACCAUGACCACAUACAAGAAGAACAGAUGGCACCUUUCUCACCAUGUCAACAAAAAAUGCAAAUUCUGAAGCUUUCUGAUUGUAGAAUUUGAGGUAGAGCUGUAAGAUUAUAUCUAUAUGUUGUGUAUGCCAUCCUUUAAUGGCAGUGACAUGUUUGGUUCCUGUAGAGUAUGAGGGGGUAAGCAAAUGGGUCAUGGUGCUAAAGACUGAGGAUGUCUACAGUAACCUUAAAUGUUUAGGUGGAGAUAAUUUGAGUGACAGUAUUUUCGGGGAAGUGCUUCAAAGUGUAUUUUAGACUUGAAUUCAUGCUGGAUGAUAUCUCUUAGUGGAGAUAUCUUUUCUUUGUUAGUGCUGGCAAAUUUGAUUAACUUCUAAUGUCAUCUCAUGUCUCAUUUAAGGCCUUCUCUAACUCCUCCUCCUUAUUUCUCUGAAAAUGUUAGACUCAUUUUUCAGUUUAUGUGUGUGUUUUAAACAUGCUUUUUAGAAUUUUUAUGAGUGUCUACGAAUAUAAAAUAUUUUAAUAUGUUAUGUGGUAAAUGAUCCAGAUAUUGCAGGUACAGUACAGCUAUGCUGCUCUGUACAAGUAUCAUGUUUCACUUGUCAUCCCAGACUGUCAGAGCAGCCCUUUACUCAAUAUCAGGCAGUGAUUAGAUCUCCAAGGAAUAUGAGAAAACAAAGUGUCUCUCUAAUAGCGCAAGAAGAAAGAUAGUGAGCAUACCUGUGGCAGACAUGGUGGUGAGUCAUGGGUGUGUGUCGAUUUAGGAUUAGGACUAAGUCCUAGUAACCUUGUGUUAACUGUUAUUUUAGUGUUUUGUUGAAAUCAAGUUAAACAUCAUGGUAAAGAAGGUUUAGUGUAGUCUGAUGCCUGUGAUAAAUUUGAGUGGUUUGUGUAGGUUGAGCCAGUGAAAUACAGAGAUUUCCUGACAUUAGGAUGAAUGGCUGGACAUGUCAGGAAAUGGGUAGUGUGGAAAUGUCACCAAGUAGUGCAGUGGUUGGGCAUGGAGCGAUGCUGAGGCUGAGGAUGUCAGACAGCUUGCUCAUGACCUUCAACCAGAAGGUUUGAACAUAUGGACAGAUCCAGAGGGCGUGGAAGUAGUCAUCUGUUUUGGUUGGGCAGUGUGGACAGGUGUUAUUUUGGCUGAAACCCAUGUGAUACAAUUUGUGAGUGGUGAGGUGGGUUUUGUACGGUAUUUGCUGGGUUUUGGAGUUGAGUGGUUGAUGUAUUAUUGGACAUAUUGUGCCAGUUGAAGUCUGUUGAAAGGUUGCUGAUGCCUGAGGACCAUUUUUCUGACUUUUUUUUAUUUUUAUCUUUAACUCAAUUUACUGAAAGAAGCAGUGGUCGGGAAUCUUGUAUUUCUUUUAUUUGGUUGAAGGUCAUGAGCAAGCCGUCAUGGAGCAGAUGUCCCAGUCUGGCUACUCCUCUCUGGGUUUUCCAAUAGAAGUCAGGGAGCCCCAGCCAAGGGGUGGGUUGAUAGGAGUCAUAGCAAAGGGGUAGUUGAGUUUUGGAAAGAUGCACUUGUGCUAGAGGGGUACAGUUAAACUUAAAAUAGGUCAUUUAAAUUUGAUGAGAUUAAGAUACCAAAGCAAGCAAUACAUUUGGCGGUAUGUAUCAGAAAGGGAUCACCAGCUCAAGCAUCCUAGUCAUGUUUGGUUACAAGCAGAAUCUCAGAUUUUGUCCAUCUGAUAGAGUAGCCAGACACCAUACUGUAGUUACUGCAUAUUAUGGACUGAUGGAAGCAAAGAUGUGGGAUUUGUAAUGUAAAGUAGUAUGUCAUCAGCAAAGAGACUGAUUUUGUGAUGGUGGGAUUUUGAUUGGGUGCCUGUGAUAUGUUUACAUUGUCUGAUGGAAGUAGCCAGAGGUCCAGCAAAGAGAAGUGAGGAUAAUGGGCAUCCUUGUCCAGUAUCUCUCUGUGACUGAAAAGCUUUUGAAACCAGUCCAUUAGUUAUUGCAGAUGCAGUGGGUGAGUUGUUCAGUGUUUUAAUCCAGUUGAUGAAAUAUGGUGGUCAAGGGAGGUGAAGAGAGAGGACCAGUCUAUCACAGCAUCCAGCGUUGCCAUGGCAAAUGGUGAGAUGUUGUAUGGGGGGCUGUUUUCGUGAAAGUUGAUCAGAUUGAAAAGUCUCUGAGUGUUUUGUGAAGAAUGCCUCACUUUGAUGAAACUGCUUUGAGUAGUUAUUUGUGACUAAUGGACUUAUUCAUCAAGAAGCAGUCAGAGUAUGAUUUAUGGUGGGGUGAGUGGUAGGUAUAUUGGUUAUUGCUUGGGUUGUUUAGUCUCCAAAUAGCCAUCAGUCCAUAAUCUGAUGUGUAUUGUUUCAACACAAAUGUAGAUUGGUUGGAUUUGGAAGUGGGAUCGAUCAUUAGAUGGGUCUAAAACUGUGUUGUAAUCGCUGCCUGGGAUGAUGUGUGAGUGAGGGAAGUUAGAUGGUGCUGUGAAUAAAGAAUGAAAAAAGGAGGGAGAGUCUGAGAUGAGUGAGAAUGUCUUUUCCAAUUGUUUCAGGGAUAAUAAUAUAGCAGCUCUCUGGGUCUAUUAGAGUUGAAUUGUGGGUAAAUGGGAUGUUUUUGCUGAUUAGAAUGGAGACACAAGGUUUUUUGGAGCUGUAUGUAGAGCAAUAUGUCUGGUCUAUCCGUUUGUCUGUAAGCUUCUGAGAUUCUGCCUCUGUUAAGUGAGUUUCUUGAGGAAACAGACACCAGAUUGAAGAUUUCUAAGGUGGCUGAUAAUUUUUGUCCUUUUUGGAGAUCAGGAGAGCUGAUUCCUCUCAUGUUAUGUGGUUUAAUUUUCACUGACAGAACCAUGUUCUUGUUAUUGUACAACACUGGGUUUGGUUACACAAUGUGCAGGAAGUAUGCAUAUGGAGUAGGAUUAUGAGUAUGAUAAAUAUGGCACACAAGACAGAAUCAACUUUUGACAUAAACACAAAAAUGUACAAAUAUUAGGAAAAUAUUCACGGGCUGAGAGGAGAGCAGAGUGCCACUGAAGACUCAGCCUUUUGACUACAUUACUGUUUUACAUUACAACUUGUUUAUUGUUUGUAAUCCUCACACUUUCACUCCAACAGGGACUCAUUGAAAGACUUGUUUUGAGAUGCUGGCCUAUGCCAGUUACUAUUCAACAUGCAAGCAUAACCCUGUUGUAAAUUUUAUUCUACACCUAGUGUGGUAGAAAGACUAUCACUUCAUUCCCUGGUUUUAUUUUAAAGCAGGUGGUUUGGUAUUCAAAAGUCUGCUGAGUGUUUUUUUUUACGAGACUGGCUGGAAUUUAACACAACACUGGGCAACACAGCCCUUUGUAGACUAUACAGAGAAUACACAAAUUGUAAUAAUGCCAAGGUUUUUAUCGUUAUUUUGAUAAAUAACUCAAAAUUGAUUUCAGAUGAGUUUUUGUAGUUUUAAAAUUCACGAGGUCAAAAUGCUUCAUGAAAUUAUGUGAGAGUACUGAUUAAAGCAGCCUGUUGCCUUAGAGUAUCGCCAUACAUUUUAUAUUCAAGACGGACCUAUAAAAAUGCUAGAAUUUAUGAAGUAUGACAAAAAUGUUUUUUUUUUGCCAUAAUUAUGUACAGUAAUUCAAAUUUUUGUUUUUUUUUAGUUUUAUUCUAUUGUUUCUGUGCUUUCUUUUCACUCAGACAUAUGUACUAAUAGGGCCCCAUUGUACAGAUCCCUGUGAAGAGCAGGCUGAACUAGCUUCUUGUUGGGGGUGGUGACAGCAGAGGGUAGAGUGAAAAAAUCUAAUAACCUACUUUUAUGAUGAGAUAACUUUCAACAGUACAUAUAAAUAACAUAUUGUGGUUGGACUGCUGUUUGUAAAAAUGAAAGACGUAUAUCUACAUUUUGAAUUUUUGUCACCCUUUCCAAUUUUAAUCUAUUCUUCAAGUGGUUAAAUUCCCAGACUAAACUUGGUCCUAAUAAAAACUUUGCUCUAAUGAAAGAAAUAACUGUCUGUGAAUAUUCAGUCCAAAUUAGGUGUUACCCUGAGCUUGUUUUUCAGAGAUAAGUGUGAUAAAGCAGACACUGUCCUUUUCAGAGAAGCCUUUAUUUUUGCUUUUUGGUAAUAUCCAAAAAGCAACCACAAAAAAGUAAUUUUGCAGUAAUAUCUUUUUAUACAAUCACCCACUUCAUAAACUAGAAAUGUUGAAGUUGUGAAAAAACAUGGUUGUGCUUUGUCCUAUCCCGGUUAGGGAAUUUCUCAAAGACAAAAGCCUUUAUGUGGGUUAGUUCCUCUACUAUUUAUCAAGAUCGACUGAAAGUUUGGUUGAGUUAAAAUUUUCAUGAUGGUGACCACGGUCCAUAGGCUUCAAAAAUAGACUACAGAAACCAUUGGAUGGUGUCUUGGAUACAUAUGCAGUACAUGUUCUCUGAAACUUAGAAAUAAAUGACUAUAUCUGCAUCAUUAUUAACAUCUUGUUUCAAGGUACUGACCUCUACCCAGGCCUCUGUAAUGCAGUGUUGUGUUUUCAUGAUCCAUGUAAUACUUAGGAUCACAACUCACAGAGCGACAAGCAGUCAGCUCUGCUUCCUUUGCAAGCUCCGAUUGUGAAAUGAUUAAUCAGCUUCUGUUCUGAACAGAACGUCUGUUUUUUUGUGUGUAUUUUUUCCACCAUUACAUGUGCCAGCAUGAUAAUAUCUGAACACAUUUCUAUACAUAUGGAACAUCCAUUAUUAGAUGCGUUCCUAUGGAAAUGAAAACAGGAAACUUUGCCCUUGGAAAUAUGUCAAUUUUCUGUGAUUACAGGAUGUGUUAGCAAUGCAGCUGAAUGUAUUUAAUGAGAUGAAUAUAUUUAUUUAAUGUUGUUUAUUCGUCUGUUUAUGCUAGAAAUGAAUGCAGUCAUACAUUCACUUUGCACAGCUCUUCAACAGAACGCUCUGUGUAUAUUUGCGACAUUUGGCAGAACAGGUUUCUUGUAUAUUUGCAGUAAAUAUGACAUGGAGUUACAGUUUGAUUGUAUUUUCUAGUUAUAGGUGUUUUUGUUCUAAAUCCCCUGCAAAUCCCAUAGUCAUUUCUACAUUUUGUUUUGCUAUAUUUUGUCAUAUCCAUUCUUUCUACUGACACAGGCGUACUCCCUGUCAGCUAGUGCCUCCACAUUGCUCAGGAGCUCAGUGAAGCUGGGUCUGUCUUCGGUGACAUGUGCCAUCAGCAGUGCAUGACUGUGGAGAAAUCUGUUGAGAGCUACAGGGCACUGUACUGAAUGGUUCCCAUUGAUCUACAUUUGCCUGACACUGUGACUGACAGAGCCAAUCAGCCUAUCAUGGCCCUGGAGACGGACAGACACUCAUUUACAGGUGAGAUGGGUUAGGAUGAGUUUGAUUGAUUGGCAGACUGUCACCAAGCCACUGGGGCAUUUCAAAACCAUCUCUGCACAGUGGGAGAGCAAUAUUAUGUUGGCGUAUGAGUGUGUAUGUGUUUGCGAGUGCAGGUGGUCAGCCUUGUACAGAUUACCCAGUGCACCUUGAGUGUGUUGACAGGUAAAGGAUCAGGCUGUCAGAUUGGCCCCGCCCACAUCUUUAGAAACUGGUGACGGGGAUAAUGCCAGGAAAGAAUCAUAUACAGUCUUUGCAUGGAUGCAGACCCAUCAAAGUACACACAUACACGCCUUCAAGAUGUCUCUCUCAUCUGCAGAUGUAUUUAUAUUAGAUCUCUCUCUCUCUCUCUCUCUCCAUCUCCUCCCUCUCUCCAUCCUGUGGUGUAGUGUUGGAUCCAGCAGUGCCAUUACUCAAACACAGCUUGUCAGCACAGAUAACAGUUGUUUGUUGUUUAACACUAUACAGAGCGUUGCAUUGCCAGUCAAAGUCUAAAAAAAAACAACAUUCUUUAUUCCCUCUAUUUUUUUUUACAUGAUUUUACAUUCAGCAUAUUCAAAGCUGGCUUGAACAGGCUUCAUGUCUUACACCAGAAAUUAUUUUUCCUUUUUGUCAUAUCGCAAAAAUCACAAUUAAUGGAGGGGAAAUGUAUUUCAUGCGAAAUGCUUCUUCAGCAUAUUUAGAUAUCAAUCAAAGUACAGAGGAAGGGUGUCUUGAAUAGCCUAAUUUUGUUCAUAUAUUAACCACCUGUUCCUCAGUCUAUAUUUCGUUUACAGUAUGUCUUUGGUUUGGGGACCUGGAUCUUUGUUCUGGUGGGAAGUCAGUGUGACAUGGUUUUAAAUCACCCUGUUAUUCAGAGUGCAAAUACUGCCCUCAUGUGGCUGAGCUUUGUUUGUCAAGCAGAGACAACUGAUGAACAUACAAAUUCCUACAACAGUUCCUAGAAAAACAGAAGGCGCAAAAAGUAGGUGUUAAAAUGUGUAAGUCCUCAGCAAUGAACCAGUUAAUGCCCAGAGAGAGCUGAACCAUCAUAUAAUGAAAGUAAUAAUGCAGGUUUGUUGGCCACUAACAUGCCC